rnacentral:rRNA from 1 species
UGAGGAAUUUUCCGCAAUGGGCGAAAGCCUGACGGAGCGACGCCGUGUGUGUGAUGAAGUCCUUCGGGACGUAAAACACUGUCAGAGGGGAAGAUAUUGACGGUACCCUCAGAGGAAGGCCCGGCUAACUACGUGCCAGCAGCCGCGGUAAUACGUAGGGGCCAAGCGUUGUCCGGAAUCAUUGGGCGUAAAGAGCGCGUAGGCGGUUUGGUAAGUCAGAUGUUAAAUCUACAGGCUCAACCUGUAGCUGCAUCUGAUACUGCUUGACUAGAGAAUGUUAGAGGAAAGUGGAAUUUUCGGUGUAGCGGUGAAAUGCGUAGAUAUCGAAAGGAACACCAGUGGCGAAGGCGACUUUCUGGGACAUUUCUGACGCUGAGGCGCGAAAGCUAGGGGAGCAAACGGG